GCCCUGAUAGUGUAGUCCGGUCUAUCAUGAAGCCCUGUCGAGGCUUCGACCCGGGUUCAAAUCCCGGUCAGGGCG
rnacentral:tRNA from 1 species